CAAGUCGAGCGAGAUUUUUUCCUGUAGCAAUACAGGGAAAAGUCUAGCGGCGAACGGGUGCUUAACACGUGGGCAAUCUGCCGAGAAGUGGGGGAUAGCUCGCCGAAAGGCGAAUUAAUACCGCAUGUGAUGAGAGUGGACAUCCAUUCAAAAUCAAAGUCGGGGCAACCUGACGCUUCUUGAGGAGCCCGCGGCCUAUCUGCUAGUUGGUGAGGUAACGGCCCACCAAGGCUUAGACGGGUAGCUGGUCUGAGAGGACGACAGCCACACUGGGACUGAGACACGGCCCAGACACCUACGGGUGGCAGCAGUCGAGAAUUUUUCUCAAUGGGGGAAACCCUGAAGGAGCGACGCCGCGUGGAGGAUGAAGGUCUUCGGAUUGUAAACUCCUGUCAUUGGGGAACAAUGCGCAAAUAUUAACUGUAUUUGCGUUGAUAGUACCCGAAGAGGAAGAGACGGCUAACUCUGUGCCAGCAGCCGCGGUAAUACAGAGGUCUCAAGCGUUGUUCGGAUUCAUUGGGCGUAAAGGGUGCGUAGGCGGCGCGGUAAGUCGGGUGUGAAAUCUCGGAGCUUAACUCCGAAACUGCAUUCGAUACUGCCGUGCUUGAGGACUGGAGAGGAGACUGGAAUUUACGGUGUAGCGGUGAAAUGCGUAGAUAUCGUAAGGAAGACCAGUGGCGAAGGCGGGUCUCUGGACAGUUCCUGACGCUGAGGCACGAAGGCCAGGGGAGCAAACGGGAUUAGAU
rnacentral:rRNA from 1 species